AUUUAUUGCCAUAUCAGGUUGAAAACACCGAUUAUGGUCCGAUCACCGAAAUUAAGUAACAGCGAGCCUAGUUAGUACUUAGGUGGAUGACUAACUGGGAAACCUAGACACUGUCAGCA
rnacentral:rRNA from 1 species